GUUUACGGCCAUACCACCUUAGGCACGCCCGAUCUCGUCUGAUCUCGGAAGCUAAGCAGGGUCGGGCCUAGUUAGUACUUGGCUGGGUGACCGCCUGGGAAUACCAGGUGCUGUAAGCA
rnacentral:rRNA from 1 species